rnacentral:rRNA from 1 species
CACCGCGGUUAAACGGGAGGCCCGAGUUGACAGAUGCCGGCGUAAAGAGUGGUCAAGGAAUCUAACAACUAAAGCCGAACAACCUCCCCCGCUGUUAUAAGCACUCGGAGAAAUUGAAGCCCCACCACGAAGGUGGCUUUAUUACACCUGAACCCACGACAACUAAGAAA